rnacentral:rRNA from 1 species
UUAAGCGACUAAGCGUACACGGUGGAUGCCUAGGCAGUCAGAGGCGAUGAAGGGCGUGCUAAUCUGCGAAAAGCGUCGGUAAGCUGAUAUGAAGCGUUAUAACCGACGAUACCCGAAUGGGGAAACCCAGUGCAAUACGUUGCACUAUCGUUAGAUGAAUACAUAGUCUAACGAGGCGAACCGGGGGAACUGAAACAUCUAAGUACCCCGAGGAAAAGAAAUCAACCGAGAUUCCCCCAGUAGCGGCGAGCGAACGGGGAGGAGCCCAGAGUCUGAAUCAGUUUGUGUGUUAGUGGAAGCGUCUGGAAAGUCGCACGGUACAGGGUGAUAGUCCCGUACACCAAAAUGCACAGGCUGUGAACUCGAUGAGUAGGGCGGGACACGUGACAUCCUGUCUGAAUAUGGGGGGACCAUCCUCCAAGGCUAAAUACUCCUGACUGACCGAUAGUGAACCAGUACCGUGAGGGAAAGGCGAAAAGAACCCCGGCGAGGGGAGUGAAAUAGAACCUGAAACCGUGUACGUACAAGCAGUGGGAGCACCUUCGUGGUGUGACUGCGUACCUUUUGUAUAAUGGGUCAGCGACUUAUAUUUUGUAGCAAGGUUAACCGAAUAGGGGAGCCGUAGGGAAACCGAGUCUUAACUGGGCGUCUAGUUGCAAGGUAUAGACCCGAAACCCGGUGAUCUAGCCAUGGGCAGGUUGAAGGUUGGGUAACACUAACUGGAGGACCGAACCGACUAAUGUUGAAAAAUUAGCGGAUGACUUGUGGCUGGGGGUGAAAGGCCAAUCAAACCGGGAGAUAGCUGGUUCUCCCCGAAAGCUAUUUAGGUAGCGCCUCGUGAACUCAUCUUCGGGGGUAGAGCACUGUUUCGGCUAGGGGGCCAUCCCGGCUUACCAAACCGAUGCAAACUCCGAAUACCGAAGAAUGUUAUCACGGGAGACACACGGCGGGUGCUAACGUCCGUCGUGAAGAGGGAAACAACCCAGACCGCCAGCUAAGGUCCCAAAGUCAUGGUUAAGUGGGAAACGAUGUGGGAAGGCACAGACAGCCAGGAUGUUGGCUUAGAAGCAGCCAUCAUUUAAAGAAAGCGUAAUAGCUCACUGGUCGAGUCGGCCUGCGCGGAAGAUGUAACGGGGCUAAACCAUGCACCGAAGCUGCGGCAGCGACACUUAGGUGUUGUUGGGUAGGGGAGCGUUCUGUAAGCCGUUGAAGGUGACCUGUGAGGGUUGCUGGAGGUAUCAGAAGUGCGAAUGCUGACAUAAGUAACGAUAAUGCGGGUGAAAAACCCGCACGCCGGAAGACCAAGGGUUCCUGUCCAACGUUAAUCGGGGCAGGGUUGAGUUCGACCCCCUAAGGCGAGGCUGAAAAGCGUAGUCGAUGGGAAACAGGUUAAUAUUCCUGUACUUGGUGUUACUGCGAAGGGGGGACGGAGAAGGCUAGGCUGGCCGGGCGACGGUUGUCCCGGUUUAAGCGUGUAGGGGGAGUGACCAGGUAAAUCCGGUUGCUUAUCAACCCUGAGGCGUGAUGACGAUGCACCACGGUGCAGAAGCAGUUGAUGCCAUGCUUCCAGGAAAAGCCUCUAAGCAUCAGGUAACAUUAAAUCGUACCCCAAACCGACACAGGUGGUCAGGUAGAGAAUACUCAGGCGCUUGAGAGAACUCGGGUGAAGGAACUAGGCAAAAUGGUGCCGUAACUUCGGGAGAAGGCACGCUGGCGUUAGGUGAAAGGACUAGCUCCUGGAGCUGAAGCCAGUCGCAGAUACCAGCUGGCUGCAACUGUUUAAUAAAAACACAGCACUGUGCAAACACGAAAGUGGACGUAUACGGUGUGACGCCUGCCCGGUGCUGGAAGGUUAAUUGAUGGGGUCAGCCGCAAGGCGAAGCUCUUGAUCGAAGCCCCAGUAAACGGCGGCCGUAACUAUAACGGUCCUAAGGUAGCGAAAUUCCUUGUCGGGUAAGUUCCGACCUGCACGAAUGGCGUAAUGAUGGCCAGGCUGUCUCCACCCGAGACUCAGUGAAAUUGAACUCGCUGUGAAGAUGCAGUGUACCCGCGGCAAGACGGAAAGACCCCGUGAACCUUUACUAUAGCUUGACACUGAACAUUGAGCCUUGAUGUGUAGGAUAGGUGGGAGGCCUUGAAGUGUGGACGCCAGUCUGCAUGGAGCCAACCUUGAAAUACCACCCUUUAAUGUUUGAUGUUCUAACUCGGCCCCAUGAUCUGGGGUGAGGACAGUGUCUGGUGGGUAGUUUGACUGGGGCGGUCUCCUCCCAAAGAGUAACGGAGGAGCACGAAGGUUAGCUAAUCACGGUCGGACAUCGUGAGGUUAGUGCAAAGGCAUAAGCUAGCUUGACUGCGAGAGUGACGGCUCGAGCAGGUACGAAAGUAGGUCUUAGUGAUCCGGUGGUUCUGAAUGGAAGGGCCAUCGCUCAACGGAUAAAAGGUACUCCGGGGAUAACAGGCUGAUACCGCCCAAGAGUUCAUAUCGACGGCGGUGUUUGGCACCUCGAUGUCGGCUCAUCACAUCCUGGGGCUGAAGUAGGUCCCAAGGGUAUGGCUGUUCGCCAUUUAAAGUGGUACGCGAGCUGGGUUUAGAACGUCGUGAGACAGUUCGGUCCCUAUCUGCCGUGGGCGUUGGAAGAUUGAGAGGGGCUGCUCCUAGUACGAGAGGACCGGAGUGGACGAAUCACUGGUGUUCGGGUUGUCAUGCCAAUGGCAUUGCCCGGUAGCUAAAUUCGGAAGAGAUAACCGCUGAAAGCAUCUAAGCGGGAAACUUGCCUCGAGAUGAGUCUUCCCUGGGGCUUAAAGCCCCCUGAAGGAACGUUAAAGACUAUGACGUUGAUAGGCUGGGUGUGUAAGUGCAGCGAUGUAUUGAGCUAACCAGUACUAAUGAUCCGUGAGGCUUAACCUU